AGAGUUUGAUCCUGGCUCAGAAUCAACGCUGGCGGCGUGCCUAACACAUGCAAGUCGAACGCGAAAGUCCCGCAAGGGAUGAGUAGAAUGGCAAACGGGUGAGUAACACGUGGGUGACCUGCCUUCGAGUGGGGGAUAACGUCCCGAAAGGGUCGCUAAUACCGCAUGACAUCCCGCCUUUUAAGAGGUGGAGAUCAAAGCUGGGGAUCGCAAGACCUCGCGCUCGAAGAGGGGCCCGCGCCCGAUUAGCUAGUUGGUGGGGUAACGGCUCACCAAGGCAACGAUCGGUAGCCGGCCUGAGAGGGCGGACGGCCACACUGGGACUGAGACACGGCCCAGACUCCUACGGGAGGCAGCAGUGGGGAAUUGUUCGCAAUGGGCGCAAGCCUGACGACGCAACGCCGCGUGGAGGAUGAAGAUCUUCGGGUCGUAAACUCCUUUCGAUCGAGACGAAUUUCCCGGGGGUGAACAAUCUCCGGGGUUGACGGUACCGAGAGAAGAAGCCCCGGCUAACUCCGUGCCAGCAGCCGCGGUAAUACGGGGGGGGCAAGCGUUGUUCGGAAUUACUGGGCGUAAAGGGCUCGUAGGCGGCCAACUAAGUCGGACGUGAAAUCCCUCGGCUCAACCGAGGAACUGCGUCCGAUACUGGAUGGCUUGAGUCCGGGAGAGGGAUGCGGAAUUCCAGGUGUAGCGGUGAAAUGCGUAGAUAUCUGGAGGAACACCGGUGGCGAAGGCGGCAUCCUGGACCGGAACUGACGCUGAGUGAGCGAAAGCCAGGGGAGCAAACGGGAUUAGAUACCCCGGUAGUCCUGGCCCUAAACGAUGAAUGCUUGGUGUGGCGGGUAUCGAUCCCUGCCGUGCCGAAGCUAACGCAUUAAGCAUUCCGCCU
rnacentral:rRNA from 1 species